rnacentral:sRNA from 1 species
UUUUUCAUUUUUUUUU